ensembl:lncRNA
AUGGAUGAGGAUUUCAAUGUUGAAUAUUUUAAUCAAGUACCGAUUGUUUUACAAAUAGCUGUUGAUCAAUUAAGUGAUGAGGAUUUCAAUGUUGAAUAUUUUAAUCAAGUACCGAAUGCUUUACAAAUAGCUGUUGAUCAAUUAAGUGAAAUUCCAAUCUCCAUUCCAAUAAAUUUACAUUUUACAGAGCAAAAUGAAAACGUCCUAGAACUUGACACCUUACAACUCAUAAAUGAUGCCCUCGAAAACCUUAAUGCAGUUAAUGCAGUAGAGUUUGAAAAUCAUUCUCCUUCAUCAGCUCUCCACACGCAAAGUGAUCAUGUCUUACACGCGGUAACAAUCAGAUCAGAGACGGAUUCAGCCGAGACACAAUCGGCUCUUCCUAACCCCCCUCCUGAACAGGAUGAGAGGCCAGGAGAAGGGGGGUCAGAGAGCAGCCCCUCAGCCCAUCUUUCUCCUCAGCAAGGGGGAGGAGGGCUAGGAGAAAAUCCAUCCGAUCUCUCUCCUGAGCGGGGUGAGAGGUUUUUUAAUGAUUUUAUCACAUGGAGAACAAGACGCUCCUUUAACAUUCCCACUCGGGGAAAUGUGCCUGACAUUGCAACAUUCUAUCGAGAUGUAACAGGGGUUAUCAGCGAAUUGGUGGAUGUUGCCAGACGACAUAGUAGUCGCAAUGAUUUAAUACAGUUGGAGGUGGUGGGUGAAAACGUACACAAUCAUGUUACAGUUGCUGUGGAUGAACAAGGUGAAAAUAUUCUACCGGCUUUUAAUGGAAUGCUAGAUCGGAUUGUGCAGUCAAACGGUAUCAUUUCAUCGGAUGAGAAUAUAGAAUUCAUCCUUCACGUGGUGCAGAACCCAGGAGGAGGUGCCAAACGUAAGAUGGAGAAAACUCUAGACUGUGAAAUCAUUGACAAAAAAAGACGUCACUUAUUUAUCGUAGACAACAGAGACAACCAGCUUUGCUUCGCCAUCAGUCUAGCUCACGUUAUCUACCCGAAACUUACUGAAAGAGAAUGCCUUGAUAUUGCGAGGAAGUUGCAGCAUCAGGCUGGUUUAAAUGAUGAGACCCCCGUCACUUUCAGUGACAUUGGUAAAUUUGAAAAUAUUCUGGGGCGUAAAAUUGUUGUGUUUUACAGAACAUGCCACAGUAAACCCCUCUCACAUUAUGAGACAAAAUUCUCUGAUCGUUCCAAUCAGUUGUUUCUCUUUUUACUACAAAAUCACUAUUAUGGGAUAAAAAAUCUCAAAGCCUUCCUGGGGUCGUCAGUCUGUAAUUAUUGUUACAAGACUUUUAAGCACCCCUAUACCCACUUUUGUAAAGGUUACUGCGCAGUGUGCAACGAUCCUGCCUGCCCCACAGAAGGGUUCAACACAGUGGUUUGCUCUGACUGUAACAGAACGUGUCGCUCACCCUCUUGUUUCACCAGACACAAAUUGGUCGGUUCAAGCAGAAAGUCCAGCCUCUGCGACCAAAUCAAAAAAUGCGCACGAUGCGAACUAUACUACAGUGUCAAUUUGUCGUUAGACGAUGCAAAGCAUCGCUGUGCGGUGAAAAAAUGUAAAAUCUGUGGUGAAAAACUGCAGAGCGACUCUAAAGUCGAUCAUAGUUGUUACAUUCCUACCCUCCAACCAGACAUCUCACAUCCUGAUUUGGUUUUUUAUGAUUUUGAAACAUUUGUGGGUCAAAAUGGAGAGCAUGUUCCUUUUUUAGUGCAUACAAAAACAUCCAAAGGUGAAGAGAAGGCGUUUUAUGGUCUUGACUGUGCUAAAAUGUUUAUUUUGCAUUUCAGGAAGCCACGAUACAAACAGAGCAUCUUUAUAGCCCAUAAUGCCAAGGGGUUUGACAGUUAUCUGGUGUUAAAAGGUAUGUUGGAACUGGAUGUGACGCCACAACAGAUUCUGAUGAACGGGAGUAAAAUCCUCAGUUUUGAGGAAUCCCAUUAUGGUCUCAAAUUCAUAGAUUCCCUGUCAUUUCUCCCCAUGCGUCUCAGCGCUAUGCCCAAAGCCUUAGGAUUCACUGACAAGACCAAGGGGUAUUUCCCACACAAAUUUAGCUCAGAAAUUCACCUCAAUUACGUGGGGCCCUAUCCCGUUCCGUCCGACUACGACGUAGAUCGCAUGACGGUGCGCGAACGGGAAGAAUUUGACCCGUGGUACAACGAGGUCAGCCGCGGUACCUUUGACUUCAAAAAGGAGGCCUCGCUGUACUGCAAAAAUGAUGUUGACAUUCUCACCCAGGGCAGUCUUAAAUUUAGAGAUCAGUUCCUAGGUGAGACGGGGGUAGACCCUUUUGGUUCUAUCGCCAUAGCCGGAGCCUGUAUGAAGGUGUUUCGCACCAAUUAUCUGACUCCUAACACUCUGGCUAUCCCCUGCCCUCACAACUAUUUGAAUCAGAGCAAAAGAUUCUCUAGCGCAUCGGUUCAAUGGUUAGAAUGGUUGAUGCACAAAGAAAAAAUCUUUAUACAGCAUGCUCUAAACAUGGGUGAAAAACAGAUUGGUGCAUUUUUCGUAGACGGAUAUGCUGAGAUUGACGGUGUAAAACAUGUCUGGGAAUUUCAUGGAUGUUUUUACCACGGCUGUCCCAGUUGCUUUGAUCCCACAGUACAGUGCGAUAUGAGAGGCGUCACCUUUGGUGAACUGCACUACAAAAGUGAGAAGAGGGUGAGUGAGCUACAGACCACACAUGGGGUUCGUGUUGUAGUCAUGAGAGAACACACGUGGAACCAGAUGAAAACAACAUGCACGGAGGUUAAAGAAUUUCUCCGUUGCUUUAACGCUCCUGAGCCUCUCAACCCCCGAAAAGCACUUUUCGGAGGUAGAACGAGCGCUUUAAAACUGCGACACACGGCAGCGCCCGAUGAAACCAUCCACUAUGUUGAUGUCACCUCACUGUACCCGUUUGUCAACAGUACUUGCUCUUACCCCUUUGGUCACCCCGUGAUCAUCUACAAAGAUUUCGAGGACCCACGCAGCUACUACGGCUUCAUCAGAGCCACUGUGUAUCCUCCUCGAGGUCUUUUAUUCCCCGUGUUACCGCACAAAAGUGAGGGAGGUAAAUUACUCUUUACACUGUGUCGCACCUGUGCCGAAACUAACAAUGAGGGUGGCCCCUGCGAACACGACGAUGAGGGCAGAGCUCUGACGGGGGUCUGGGUCACCGUUGAAUUCAUCAAAGCUCUGGAGGUGGGGUACAGGGUGGGUAAAAUUACAGAAGUCUGGCACUUUGACAAGAGCAGCGACACUGUGUUUACCGACUACAUACACACCUUUUUGAAAGGAAAGCAGGAAGCCUCGGGUUACCCCGCUGAGGCGACGGACCGAGAGAGCAGGGAAAAAUACAUCAGGGACUAUCAGGAGCAUCAGGGCAUUCUUUUAGAUGCUGGCAAAAUCGAGACCAAUCCUGUGAAAAGACAGGUUGCUAAAUUGUGUCUCAACAGUUUGUGGGGAAAGUUUGCACAGAGAGAUAAUUUGUUUAAAACCACCAUUGUCUCAGAUCCUAAAGAAUUCUUUAGUUACAUGUUUUCAGGUAAAUACAAAGUCGAAUACUUUUCCGUUCUCCACAGCAACAGAGCUCUCAUCAGGUGGAAAUACACCGACAGGUACGUUCAACCCCCAGGUAAACAGAGUAAUGUUUUUAUUGCAGCAUUCACCACAGCACACGCACGACUGAAGCUGUACAGUUAUCUGGAAAAACUACAAGACAGAGUGUUUUACAUCGACACAGAUAGUUUAAUCUAUCUGGUCAAAGAGGGUGAGAAACCUCUAGAGCUGGGUAACUAUUUAGGUGACCUGACGGAUGAACUGGAUGGUGACAGCAUUCAAGAGUUUGCAGCGGCGGGUCCCAAGAGUUACGCGUACCAAACACGAAAUAAAAAGAAAGUCGUCAUGCGUGUGAAAGGUAUCACUCAGACCCGGGAAUGUUGUGAGCGUGUGAGCUUUGACAGUGUCAGAGAGCUGGUGGAGGGUUACCUGAGUAAUAAACAAGAGGGAAACACGAUCGAGAUCCGUCAACACAGCAUCAGACGUGAUAAAAAGGGUUUUGCAUUGAGAAAUGUGUCAUUUGAUAAAAAAUUUAGGGUGGUGUAUGACAAAAGACGACUCUUUGCUGACGGAACAACUCUGCCUUUCGGGUAUUAG